rnacentral:other from 1 species
AAUUCCCUGCGGUGUUCGCCAAGGCUCUACAUUCCUUGAACCAAUACGCAUUUGCAUCGGUCGCCGCCCAUUGACGCCGCUGUUGUGAGCGCCCCUCGUCGGGUGCACCUGAAGCGGCAGGAACGUGACCCAUCUGAACCCAGGUUCAGGAUGCCGGCCAAACGGCACGCGCGGGGAACCC